GGUAAACCGAAUUCCCCCGGGGAAAGUUUACCCUUUGAAACGAGGGAAGUGCCUCGCAAGUAGGAGCCUGAGACAGGUGCUGCAUGGCUGUCGUCAGCUCGUGUCGUGAGAUGUUGGGUUAAGUCCCGCAACGAGCGCAACCCUUGUCUUUAGUUGCCAUCAUUCAGUUGGGCACUCUAAAGAGACUGCCGGUGUCAAAACCGGAGGAAGGUGGGAUGACGUCAAGUCCUCAUGGCCUUUAUGUCUAGGGCUACACACGUACUACAAUGGCCGGUACAAAGGGCAGCCACUCAGCGAUGAGGCGCUAAUCCCAUAAAGCCGGUCUCAGUCCGGAUCGCAGUCUGCAACUCGACUGCGUGAAGUUGGAAUCGCUAGUAAUCGUAGAUCAGCAUGCUACGGUGAAUACGUUCCCGGGCCUU
rnacentral:rRNA from 1 species